AAUCAAGUAAUAGCUCUUUUCCUCCAAGCCUCUCCUGGUUGAUAAGGCGAUCAAGAGAUAGGGAGAUGUGUGAGACGGAGGGUGUGUUGCACGCAUGGGAGGUAGUAUUGCACACUGGUUAGUAUAGUACACCGCACGCACAGGGUCUGACCACACAGUCAGGAAUCCUGAUUCUGCCAUUUAAUGACUGCAUGACCCAGCAAGUGAUUUUAAUUCUUCGGGCCUCAGUUUUCUGAUCUGUCCAAAGAGCUUAAUAGCGGUGACUUCCAUAUAGGGUUGUGUGGGAGUGAUGCGUGCCCCGAAGCGCUUGAUAUGCUAUAAGCACGCAAAUAUUAGGUCCUUCCUAAGGAAGGUACAAGAUUAUUGGGUUGGAUCUUUAGCUCCUCUUCCUUGCGUUGCUGCAUAGCACAUGUCACAUUUCUUUCAAAGCCACCUGACGACUUCACUCUUUCCUCGCUAAGCUCUGACUCACCCUGGGGAAGCAACCGUGUCUUCGUCAUCUUUGUCUCCUGCGAAUGGUGCCUGGUAUGAGGAAGACCCUGGGGUGGGUAUCUAUGGUGAGAGUCUGCAGAUAAAGCUUUGGCAGUGUGGAAGCCAUAUUUGUAUUCCAGUUAGUGAGAACACGGGCUCUGGAGCCAGACUGCCUGGCCCUGUUCUCCUCUUUGACACUAUCUGUGUGACCUUAGGCCACUUACUUGGCCGCCUUUCCCCCUCAACAUCCUGCCUUGUAAAAAGGGGGAAAGUAAUGGAAUCUAACGCAUGCGGCUGCUAUAAGGAUUAGAUGAGAUGGUACGUAGAAAGCACCCUGGGUGCAGCCUGGCUUGUUGUAAGCUCUCGAUAAAUGUUAGCGACUAUUAUGGCUGCUAUGACAAAUUCCGUGCUACGUGUCAUGUCUGAACUCACCUAAUUUCCAUGGCAGUCCCAGUGGUGGAUGUUGUUAUCCUGCUUCACAGAUGAAGAAACCGAGAGGUUGCGGAGUAAAGCUGCGCAUCCGGCAUGUGGCUGAGCCGAGACGCAAUGCCACAUCUACUGGUUUGGGGGCCGAGCGUGCAGCUUCUAGUGUCUGCUCCUCAUGGGGGUGCAAAGCAGGGUCGGCAGGUGACACCUGAAACCAGCUACAGACCCAUCCACUCGCUGGCUCGUCCAGGCUGGUCUUGGUUCCAGCUCCCUGGUCCCUGAAUCUUGGACAAGCUUUCUGUGGUCUGAGCCUUGCCCGUGUCAUCCUGAGAUGGGUGUGGCAGCGUCAUUCUCAUGUGGCUGCAGUCAGGAUCAAGAGGCCCUUCAGAGACAUGCAAUAAAUAUGAGUUUCCCUGCCUUUAAUGUUUGAGC
rnacentral:lncRNA from 1 species